ACACGUAGGGGGCGAGCGUUGUUCGGAAUUACUGGGCGUAAAGGGCAUGUAGGCGGCUUGGUAAGCCUGGCGUGAAAGUCACCGGCUCAACCGGUGGAUUGCGUUGGGAACUGCUGAGCUUGAAUCACGGAGAGGGAGCUAGAAUUCCAGGUGUAGGGGUGAAAUCUGUAGAGAUCUGGAAGAAUACCAGUGGCGAAGGCGAGCUCCUGGCCGAUGAUUGACGCUGAGGUGCGAAAGUGUGGGGAUCAAACAGGAUUAGAUACCCUGGUAGUCCACACUGUAAACGAUGUGCACUAGGUGCUGGGGCGGAUGCUUCAGUGCCGGAGCUAACGCGGUAAGUGCACCGCCUGGGGAGUAUGCUCGCAAGGGUGAA
rnacentral:rRNA from 1 species